rnacentral:rRNA from 1 species
UCGACGGAGAGUUUGAUUCUGGCUCAGAACGAACGCUGGCGGCGUGGAUAAGACAUGCAAGUCGAACGCUGAUUUCAGGGUAGCAAUAUUCUGAAGUCGGAGUGGCGCAAGGGUGCGUAACACGUGGGCAAUCUGCCGCGAAGACUGGGAUAACCCCGAGAAAUCGGGGCUAAUACCGGAUGUGGUGGUCGAGGGGCAUCUCCCGACCUCCAAAGCUGGGGACCGUAAGGCCUGGCGCUUCGCGAUGAGCCCGCGGCCUAUCAGCUAGUUGGCGGGGUAACGGCCCACCAAGGCGAAGACGGGUAGCUGGUCUGAGAGGACGACCAGCCUCACUGGAACUGAGACACGGUCCAGACACCUACGGGUGGCAGCAGUCGAGAAUUUUUCACAAUGGGCGAAAGCCUGAUGGAGCGACGCCGCGUGGGGGAUGAAUGGCUUCGGCCCGUAAACCCCUGUCAUUCGCGAGCAAGGUCCCCGGUUGAACAGACCGGGGGCGUGAUAGUAGCGGAAGAGGAAGGGACGGCUAACUCUGUGCCAGCAGCCGCGGUAAUACAGAGGUCCCAAGCGUUGUUCGGAUUCACUGGGCGUAAAGGGUGCGUAGGCGGUCGGGAAAGUCUGAUGUGAAAUCUCCGGGCCCAACCCGGAAAUGGCAUCGGAUACUCCCCGGCUGGAGGGUUGGAAGGGGGACUGGAAUUCUCGGUGUAGCAGUGAAAUGCGUAGAUAUCGAGAGGAACACCGGUGGCGAAGGCGAGUCCCUGGACAACUCCUGACGCUGAGGCACGAAAGCUAGGGGAGCAAACAGGAUUAGAUACCCUGGUAGUCCUAGCCCUAAACGGUGCACGUUUGCUGUGAGAGGAAUCGACCCCUUUCGUGGCGAAGCUA